CUUCAGAGGAGGUUCUUCUGAGGCUGCUGCCAGUGGUCAAAGCCUCCAGCAAAGCUCUACUGAGCAGCUGUUCCCUCUCAGAUGAAGGAUGUUCAGCUCUGUCCUCAGCUCUCAGCUCUCCGUCCUCCAGACUGAAGGACCUGGACCUGAGAAUCCAGGACUCAGGACUGAAGAAGCUGUGUGAUGGACUGGAAAACUGGAAACUGGAAACUCUCAGCAGCACAGGGUGCCACAGAUGUGGAAAACAUCCAGUGCCCAGGUCAUCCCACCCCACAGAGUCACUAUUGACCUGUGGCCCUGACACCUCACCUGGCAAAGACUGGAGAGGCUGGUGCUCCAUCCUCUGCAUUCUGUGACAUCCUACCUGAAGAGGCCUUGAAGCACUGUGAGAAUCAUGUUCUAUGAUUUCUCCAGUGCUUUCAACACCAUCCAGACAGAACUCCUGAAGGAUAAGCUGGAUCAUGGUGUGCCAGGACUUCCUGACCAACAGGUCUGUGUGUGAGGUCAAGGGAUUGCGCUUCUGACACUGUGUUCUGCAGCACGGGGACUUCUUAAGGGACAGUUCUGGCUCUGGCUCCUCUCCAUCUACACCACUGACUUCAUUCACCACCAGAUAUAAAAUACCAAGUAAAUACACCAACGCACACACACACAUAUAUAUAUAUAUAUAUAUAUAUAUAUAUA